rnacentral:rRNA from 1 species
AGUCGAGCGGACAGAUGGGAGCUUGUUUCCCUGAUGUUAGCGGCGGACGGGGGAAAAAAACGUGGGUAACCUGCCUGUAAGACUGGGAUAACUCCGGGAAACCGGGGCUAAUACCGGAUGGUUGUUUGAACCGCAUGGUUCAAACAUAAAAGGUGGCUUCGGCUACCACUUACAGAUGGACCCGCGGCGCAUUAGCUAGUUGGUGAGGUAACGGCUCACCAAGGCAACGAUGCGUAGCCGACCUGAGAGGGUGAUCGGCCACACUGGGACUGAGACACGGCCCAGACUCCUACGGGAGGCAGCAGUAGGGAAUCUUCCGCAAUGGACGAAAGUCUGACGGAGCAACGCCGCGUGAGUGAUGAAGGUUUUCGGAUCGUAAAGCUCUGUUGUUAGGGAAGAACAAGUACCGUUCGAAUAGGGCGGUACCUUGACGGUACCUAACCAGAAAGCCACGGCUAACUACGUGCCAGCAGCCGCGGUAAUACGUAGGUGGCAAGCGUUGUCCGGAAUUAUUGGGCGUAAAGGGCUCGCAGGCGGUUUCUUAAGUCUGAUGUGAAAGCCCCCGGCUCAACCGGGGAGGGUCAUUGGAAACUGGGGAACUUGAGUGCAGAAGAGGAGAGUGGAAUUCCACGUGUAGCGGUGAAAUGCGUAGAGAUGUGGAGGAACACCAGUGGCGAAGGCGACUCUCUGGUCUGUAACUGACGCUGAGGAGCGAAAGCGUGGGGAGCGAACAGGAUUAGAUACCCUGGUAGUCCACGCCGUAAACGAUGAGUGCUAAGUGUUAGGGGGGUUUCCGCCCCUUUAGUGCUGCAGCUAACGCAUUAAGCACUCCGCCUGGGGAGUACGGUCGCAAGACUGAAACUCAAAGGAAUUGACGGGGGCCCCGCACAAGCGGUGGAGCAUGUGGUUUUAAUUCGAAGCAGCGCGCAUAACCUUACCAGGUCUUGAACAUCCUUCUGAACAAUCCUUAGAGAUAGGACGUCCCCUUUCGGGGGGGCAGAAGUGACAAGGUGGUGCAUGAUUGUCGUCUGCCUUCGUAGUCCGAGAAGAUGUUGGGAUUUAAGGUCCCGCUACGAGCGCAACCCUUUGAUUCUUUAGUUGCAAGCAAUUCAGUUGGGCACUCUUAAGCUGAACUGGCCGUGUGACACAAACCGGUAGAGGUGGGGAUG